rnacentral:lncRNA from 1 species
AAGAUUUUCUUCUUUCAAAUUCCCAUUUCUGCUUUUUUUUACUCAAAGCACAAAUUUGAAUAAAUGAUGAUCCAAGGAUUCUUACUCAUGGAAUCUUUGGACUUAGUUUGAAGGUUUUAUUGAAUUUUGUUUGAGCCGUACGAGAUGAAAUUCUCAUAUACGGUUCUCAGAGGGGAGUUCUCUUGGUUUACCUAUCUCAAUAAAGUCUACGAUUGGUUCGAAGAACGUCUCGAGAUUCAGGCGAUUGCAGAUGAUAUAACUAGUAAAUACGUUCCUCCUCAUGUCAACAAUAUUUUAUUGUCUGGGAGGAAUUACGCUCACUUGUUUUUUAGUACAAGUAGCUACAGGGUUUGCUAUGACUUUUACUACCGCCCGACCGUUACUGAGGCUUUUGCCUCUGUUCAAUACAUAAUGACGGAAGUUAACUUCGGGUGGUUAAUUCGAUCGGUUCAUCGAUGGUCGGCAAGUAUGAUGGUCCUAAUGACAAUCCUGCACGUAUUUCGCGUGUAUCUCACCGGGGGUUUUAAAAACCUCGCGAAUUGACUUGGGUUACAGGUGUGGUUCUGGCUGUAUUGACCGCAUCUUUUGGUGUAACAGGUUAUUCUUUACCUUGGGACCAAAUUGGAUAUUGGGCAGUAAAAAUUGUAACAGGCGUGCCCGAAGCAAUUCCGGUAAUAGGAUCGCCUUUGGUAGAGUUAUUACGCGGAAGUGCUAGUGUGGGACAGUCCACUUUGACUCGGUUUUAUAGUUUACACACUUUUGUAUUACCUCUUCUUACUGCCGUAUUUAUGUUAAUGCAUUUCCUAAUGAUACGUAAACAAGGUAUUUCUGGCCCUUUAUAAAAUUAUACAAAAUCUAGAUUAUAGCGAUUUGUAAUCAACCUUUAUCUUAUUGCUUGGGGGAGGAACAAUAAUAUUUCAUUGCUACAAAUAUGGAUUAUUGACAAAGAAUAGACAUGGAGUUGGAAAUUUCCCCUCAACUCCAUAAUAUUGGACUUUUUAUUUGACAUGAAUGAAAUGAAUAGUUGACGGGAAUUCUCCGAAGAGAAAAUGGAUUAUGGGAGUGUGUGACUUGAACUAUUGAUUGGGCCGUGCAGAAAUAUGUCUUUAAUCUGCUACAUUGGAAUUCGCGACCAAAUGUGUCUUUGUUCCAACCGGCACCCCAUAGAGAGGAUAGGUUGGUUCGAUUGAAAAGAAUCUUUUCUAUGAUCAGCCCCAAGCAUGCCGCGCAUGAGCAGGCUCCGUAAGAUCCAGUAGAAUAAGCGAUGUGGCAUAAUCUAGAUUAUGUUUCGCUAGAUUCUAGAUUACUUACUUAAUAGUAUGGAAAUGCAUUCAUUUCUUCUGCACCGAUCCCGAUUUAUGAUACUAUCGGAGUGAAACAAGGGGUCUAAAAGAAGAGCAGCGGCUAGACUAUAUUAGUAACAAGUAAAUCCUUUGUACGCGAAAAAGAAAAAUCUCAGCUCGAUCUUUUUUUUUUUUGUUUUUGGAUAAGGGUGAAUCACAAGGGCUGAGACGACCCAGAAAGCUCUUGAUCAUGAUCAAUUUUGUAAGCCUACUUGGGUAUGGAGCAUACACCUGUAAGAACCGAAUUCCUUGCAAUUGAUAGUUGAAACUUCGUAAAACGGAAUCCGGUAAUUUUACAUAUAGAAUCAUCCCGAUAUGCGUAAAAUAUAGAUUUUCGAAAAUCUAUAUUUUUUUUAUCUAUUUCUUUUUUUAUAUGUAUCCUUUUAGUUUGGUUGAUUCUUCUUGCUCGAGCCGGAUGAUGAAAAAUUAUCAUGUCCGGUUCUUUGGGGGAUGGAUCUAUAAGAAUUCGCCUAUCCCAAUAACAAAAAAACCUGACUUGAAUGAUCCUGUAUUAAGGGCUAAGUUGGCUAAGGGUAUGGGUCAUAAUUAUUAUGGAGAACCCGCAUGGCCCAACGAUCUUUUAUAUAUUUUCCAGUAGUAAUUCUAGGUACUAUUGCAUGUACCGUAGGCUUAGCGGGUUCUAGAACCAUCAAUGAUUGGUGAACCCGCGGAUCCAUUUGCAACUCCUUUGGAAAUCUUACCCGAAUGGUAUUUCUUUCCCGUAUUUCAAAUACUUCGUACAGUACCCAAUAAGCUGUUGGGUGUUCUUUUAAUGGUUUCAGUACCUACGGGAUUAUUAACAGUACCUUUUUUGGAAAAUGUUAAUAAAUUCCAAAAUCCAUUUCGCCGUCCGUAGCGACAACCGUCUUUUUGAUUGGGACCGCAGUGGCCUUGUGCUUGGGUAUUGGAGCAACAUUACCUAUUGAAAAUCCCUAACUUUAGGUCUUUUUUAAAUUGAUUCAAUUGUAAAAUAUCAUGGACGUGUGUAUCUAGGGAGUAGUCACUUCACAAAGUAAAAAGUGAUUCUCCCUAGAUACUUCUAUUCAAUUUAAUUCCGGUCUGAAUUAUAGACGGGUCUAAAGGUGCAAAGCCAUUUCCAAUUUUCUCGUUUUUUUUUUUUUUCGGUAAAUCAAUUGUGAAAUGCUUUUCUAUUUCUUUUUCUAGAAUACUCAUUAUCUGCUUUACAUCCUCUAUGCGAAAGUGUUCAAUUUUCAUAAGGUCUUCUUGACGCGUAUUCAAAAGGUCGAAUAAUGUAUGUAUAUUGGACUUUUUGAGACAAUUAUAGAUCCUGGGAGACAUUUCUGAUUGGUCAAUAAAAAUCGAUUUCAAAUGCGAUUUCUUUUUUCUUUUUCGUUAGUUUAGCCCAAUCUAUCAUGAAAAGUAAAAAAAGGGUAAAGUAACCUUGUAUUGAUUGUUCUCUAAAGGUAAGUUUUCGUCUUCUGGCCUGGAGAAAGGGAAUAAAUAAAUCAAUCAAACUCCGGGAAGGCUUCAUGAAGUGCUUCUUUAGGAGUUAAACUUCCGUUUGUCCAUAUUUCUAGAAAAAGGAUCUCUUGUUUUUCAUUGCAUUCCCAUAAGACUGAAUACUAUGAUUCGCAUUUCGAACAGGCAUGAUACAGCAUCGAUAGGAUAACAAUUUCCGUCUUGAAAGGUAUUUGGCGUUUUUAUAUUAUAUCCUCGACUCCUCUCGAUUUGUAAUCCAAUAGACAAAUCAAUUGGUUCUGUUAGGCUAGCUAUGUGCUGCGUAUUAUCAACGGAUUUCCACAGAAGGCGGCCAAGAGGAUGUCUUGAGCAGUUACAUAUCCCGGGCCUUUGACCCAAAUAAGCGCGUCACAAGUUCCAUAUAAGAUUACUUCUCAAUACAAUAUCUUUCAAAUUCAUUAAAAUUUCAUGUACCCGAUUCUUGAAUACCCACUAUGGUAGAAUAUUCGUGUGGAAUUUUUCAGAUUUUGCGCGUGUAAUACAUGUUCCUUCUAUUUCUCCAAGCAAAACUCUUCGCAUCGCAAUGCCUAUUGUGUCGGCUUGACCUUUCAUAAGUGGAGACAAAAUAAAGCGCCCAUAAUAAAACGCUUACUGUCUGCUCUUGAUUCAACACACUUCCACUGUAGUGUCCGAGUAGAUACUUUUACUUUCUCUCGAACCAUAGUAAUAUUAUUUGUCAGAUCAUUGAGUCAUUUAUUUCUCUUGAAAUCUCUUCAAUGUUUAUUUCUACACCCGUCUUUUUUUAGGGGUCUGCAACCAUUGUGUGGCAUAGGGGUUACAUCCCGUACGAAAUUUAAAAGGAUACCGCUUCUACGAAUAGCUCGUAAUGCCGCAUCUCUUCCGAGACCAGGACCCUUUAUCAUGACUUCUGCUCGUUGCAUACCUUGAUCCGCUACUGCUCGAAUAGCAUUUCCUGCUGCGGUUUGAGCAGCAAAAGGCGUACCUCUUUCUUGUACCCUGAUCCACAAGUACGGCCGAGGACCAAGAAAUUACCCGACCCGGACAUCUGUAACAGUCACAAUGGUGUUGUUGAAACUUGCUUGAACAUGAUAACGCCCUUUGGUAUUCGACGUCCACUUUUACGUGAACCGAUCCGUCCCGGCCUACGUGAACCACUUCGUGGUGGAGAUUUUGCCAUAUUUGAUCAUUUCAUAAAUAUAAGUCAGAGAUAUAUGGAUAUAUCCAUUUCAUGUCAAAACCGAUCUUUUAUGUUGAUUUGUUCAUCGGUUACUUUCUAAACUUUUCGAAAGAUUAUCCUUGUCUUUGUUUAUGUCUCGGUUGGAACAAAUUACUAUAAUCCGUCCCCCUCUGCGGAUCAGUCGACAUUUUUCACAAAUUUUACGAACUGAAGCCUUAUUUUCAUAAUUGUAUUCCUUAAAUGAAUUUCGAAUCUCCUUAUUGGAAGUUGGAAGAAAUAAGUUUCUUGAAAUUUUUGAACCACGCGAUUUGUAUCCCCCUGAAAGGAAUGUUGAAAAAUCACCUAAUCACUCAAAAUCCUUUUGUGUAGUCUAUAUAUUAUUAUUAUAUCCUCCAGUUGAAUCUGAAUCAUAAGACUUCCUUCAAUUUUGCCUCUAGCCACCGGAGUAGAUGUAGAAAAACGGGUCGCAUCCCUCUGAAACAUAAUCUAGAAUCUUACUUCGCUCUCUAAACUAUCUAAAAGAACCCGGAGCAUACCUUUGGUAAGUUAUUCGGUAAUUAAACCUCGAGGAAUCCUCCUUUUUUUUUCUCACAACAUAAAAGUAAGCUCCAAAUACAAUUCGGAUAGCAGAAUAAUUACCAUAUAUAAACACAAAAUUUCUCCACCCGAUUCUUUCCAGUCGAGCCGCUCGGUCUGUCAUUAUACCCCGAGAAGUAGAGAGAAUUACAAUCCCCAUCCCAUCUAAAAUUCUAGGAUUCGUCGAUAGUUAAAAUAGAUUCGUAGACCGGGUCGACUGAUUCGUUUUAAAUUUAAAAUGGGUCUAUACGGCCUUUCCUAUUCCUUCGAUGUCGUAGGGUUAAAACCAAAAACUCUUUUUUGUUUUUGUUUUCCACGAGUUUCCUUGCGUUUUCGAUAAAACCCUCUCGCAAAAGGAUUUUAACAACGUUUUCGGUGAUGUUAGUAGAUGCUAUUCGAAACCGUUCCCUUUCUAUUCAUGUCAGCAUUUCGUAUAGAAGUUAUUAUGUCAGCAAUAGUGUCCUUGCCCAUGAUAAACUGAAAAUUUUGUUGCUUCCAAAUUUUGAUAUAAUCAACAUGUUCUUUUUUUUUAUGAAAAUUAUUAAAAGUAUAUGCGUGAGACAUACUCUACUAAAUUUUGAUUUAUCUAUUUUAUUUUCAUACUAUCACUAUAUCGCGGUCCCCUCUUAUAAUACUUCAGGUGCUAAUGAAACUAUUUUAGUAAAAUUCAACUGUCUCAAUUUCCCGGGGCGAUCGCACCAAAAACUCGAGUUCCCUUUGGAUUUCCUUCGUGGAUCAAUGACAACUGCAGCAUUGUCAUCGUACCGUAUUAUCAUACCGGUUAUCACGUCUGAGUUCUUUACAAGUACGUACAAUUACAGCUCUGAUCACUUCUGAUCUUUCUAGAGGCGUAUUGGGUACUGCUGUUCCUUGAUCACAGCAACAAUAACGUCACCAAUAUGAGCAUAUCUACGAUUACUGGCUCCUAUGAUUCGAAUACACAUCAAUUCUCGGGCACCGCUAUUGUCUGCUACAUUCAAAUGGGUUUUGAGGUUGAAUCAUAUCGUUUUUUGAGUCCGUUUUUUUAAUGUUUAAUUUAAAGUAAAGCACUGAAAGGACGAAGUAAAAAAAAAAAGGGAAGACCCGCAUUUUUUUAUACCCAAGAUUUUAUUUCCUUUGUUUCGACAUUCCCUAUCCCGAAAUAAUGAAUUGAGUUCUUAUAGGCAUUUUGGACGCCGCUAUUGAAAUAGCCUUUCGAGCUAUAUUUUCAGGCUACUCCCACUCAUUUCAUAAAGUAUUCUACCCGGUUUAAACGACGGCUACCCAAUAUUCGGGGGAUCCUUUACCGGACCCCAUACGGGUUUCCGUGGGUCUUAGUGUAACGGGUUUGUCUGGAAAGAUACGUACCCAUAUUUUUCCACCGCGCCGUACAUUUCGUGUCAUUGGCGCGGCGCCCCGCUUCGAUUUGUCUAGAUGUGAUCCAAGCGGGUUCAAGUGCUUGAAGAGCAUAUCUGCCGAAACAAAUAUGAUUACCUCGAUAAGAUAUCCCUUUCAUUCUUCCUCUAUGUUGUUUACGGAAUCUUGUUCUUUUGGGUUAUAAUUGAUGGUUCUUUCUCAAUGCCAUCUCUACUACAGAACUGGACAUGAGAGUUUCUUCUCAUCCAGCUCCUCGCGAAUGAAAGGACUAAAAACGAUUUUUAUCAAGAUAUAGGGGAAUUUAAUGAAUAAUAUACUGAAGCAUAGGAUUUUUUUGAAAGUUUCAUCUAAUUAAUCUAUUCUAAAUUUGUAUAUCAUGUUUAGAUAUAGAAUUGAAACAUUUAUGUUCUAUUUAUAGAUAAUCUCAAUGUCUUUUUUUUUUUUUAUCGUUAUAACAAAUCUUUAUUUUGUUUUUGCCCUUUACCAUAUCGGAUCGAGCAAAAUGAAUCAAUCCAAUAAAAUCAAAAAAUAAACCUUUCGCGGGCGAAUAUUUACUCUUUCAAUAUCUAUUUCAGUUGUAGGGUUAGUUCAUGACCUCUACGAAUAAAAGAAUAGUUUAGUUCCUGGGUUCGUUUCGCCAUCCCACCCAAUAAAUCAUUAAGAUUCAUUUCCAAUAGAAUCUUCUUUUUCUUUAUUCACGGGUUCCGUCGUUCCCAUUGCUUCUCGAUUAAUGGUUAGGUCUGAAUUCUCCAACGGAGCCCUUAAUGAAAUUUUUCUUAAGUCAAUUUUCUCAGUUUUUAUUGGCUCGGGGCUCUUGAUUUUUUUUUGUUCUAUGAGCGGAUUCAUCUAGUUAGGGAUGAAUCAUUAUUGAUGCUAUAUUACACUGUUUUUUUAUGAGAUGACUUACAGACCUUACAUAUUGGAAUCUUAUAUCAUUGAUAUUUUUCUUUCUCUCUUUCUCUCAUCCUUCCAUUUAUCCGCAUGCUUUUCGAUUUUCUUUCACAACUUCGAACUUCACAACCUACAAUCAGAUUGGGUUUUUAUGUUAUGCAAAUUUCAGUUGCUACAACGAUAUGACCACUAUAUUAUAUCUUGACUGGUUCUUUGGAUUCAGAUAAUACGAAGCAAUGAGUUGGUUAUUAGUGCUAUAGUUAUUAGUUUCAUACUACAGGACGGUCCAUUUUUUGGAAUCCUAGCCCUAAAAAAAACCAACGAGUCGCACACUAAGCAUAGCAAUUAUAUAAAAAAAAAAAAAAAUCAAUCGAAUUUUUAUUCAACCCUAUAGAAUUGCGGAAUUUCUCAUUUUUGUUUUGAUUGAAGAUAAAAAGAGCUCGUUCUUUGUUUGGUUUAUUUCCAUUAAUGGGGGGGCUCUAAAGACCCGUAAACUCUUAUUUUUUUCGUCUACAAAUAUCCAAAUUUUGAUUCCCAAUACCCCGUAGAUAGUUCGAACCGUAUAGGAACAAUAAUCAAUUUUAGCUCCAAUGGUUUGUAGAGGAACUCUACCUUCUCUGAUCCAUUCGGCGCGCGCAAUUUCUUUUCCGUCAAGACGCCCUGCAAUUUGUACUUGAAUUCCUUUUUGUAUCGGCCUGUUCCGUUAAUUCAAUAGCU